rnacentral:rRNA from 1 species
GUCAGCAAACAUACCACCUGCAGUUCAGACUAGAUAAUCCACCUGAAGCUAUGCAGGUUUGGGCCUGGCCAGUACCUGGAUGGGAGACCAACUAGGAAAACUGGGUUGCUGCUGGGA